AUACGUAGGUGGCAAGCGUUGUCCGGCAUUAUUGGGCGUAAAGCGCGCGCAGGUGGUUCCUUAAGUCUGAUGUGAAAGCCCCCGGCUCAACCGGGGAGGGUCAUUGGAAACUGGGGAACUUGAGUGCAGAAGAGGAUAGUGGAAUUCCAAGUGUAGCGGUGAAAUGCGCAGAGAUUUGGAGGAACACCAGUGGCGAAGGCGACUGUCUGGUCUGUAACUGACACUGAGGCGCGAAAGCGUGGGGAGCAAACAGGAUUAGAUACCCUGGUAGUCCACGCCGUAAACGAUGAGUGCUAAGUGUUGGGGGGUUUCCGCCCCUCAGUGCUGCAGCUAACGCAUUAAGCACUCCGCCUGGGGAGUACGGUCGCAAGACUGAAACUCAAAUGAAUUGACGGGG
rnacentral:rRNA from 1 species